UACGUAGGGCGCAAGCGUUGUCCGGAAUUAUUGGGCGUAAAGAGCUCGUAGGCGGUCUGUUACGCCCGCUGUGAAAACCCAGGGCUUAACCCUGGGCUUGCAGUGGAUACGGGCAGACUAGAGGCAGGUAGGGGAGAAUGGAAUUCCCGGUGUAGCGGUGAAAUGCGCAGAUAUCGGGAGGAACACCGGUGGCGAAGGCGGUUCUCUGGGCCUGACCUGACGCUGAGGAGCGAAAGCGUGGGGAGCGAACAGG
rnacentral:rRNA from 1 species